GACCCCGUAGCUCAGCUGGAUAGAGCAACUGCCUUCUAAGUAGUAGGUCACAGGUUCGAAUCCUGUCGGGGUCA
rnacentral:tRNA from 1 species